CUGGCAGCCACCUGCCUCUCCUCUUGGGCUCCCGGUUGGAGCAGCAUCCCUGCGGAGCGCUCUGGGCUCCGUUAUCCCUCCGUGGGGCGGGGUGCCCCGGGCCGAGGGGACGGCACAGGAAAGGAGGCCCCUUGGGAGGCAGCUCGCUGCUUCCUCACUCUGGCUUGUGAUCCAGGCCAGCGUUCCCAGCUCCCGGAGUCACACCCUCUCCCAGCUGUUGCUCGCCGAGCAUCGCGCUGCCAAGAAAACCUUUGGUGAUGGAUGAAACUCCCUCCCCGCUCCCUUAAAACCGGCGGCGAGCGGCACCGUGCCUGUGCCUGGUCCCGGCGCGCCGGGAUCCGCCUGGGAAUGGGAUCCCGCUGGAAUCUCGGGCACCCCGAGCUCGUCCUGCCCAACACGGAGCAGCGGGAGAGCGUUGGCACCACGAGAGCUCGUGCCUUAGGCCGGUGUGGAGGGAGCUGCCGUUGUGCCCUGGGACACUGAACUGUCACCUGUCCCCCAUCUCAACGGAGAGGAGAGAGGGAAGAAUCACCGGCUGCAGAUCCCAGCCGCCGGGAUCAUAG
rnacentral:lncRNA from 1 species